CUGAUGCUCUGAUGCUACUGGAGGGCAAGGAGAACUACGGCGUCUAUCCGGACAGAUAAUUUUAAGUGGCGGGAGUAGUGACAUAAAGAACGACUUUAUAUCCGCCUUCUGGCGCUGUGACGAAAGGACUGCCCGGCGGAUCAGUUCAGCUGACAGUCAACCGAGGGCAGAGACAAGACUCUGAUCUGCGAUGGUACCACCAGUGACAACUGUGACAAUGUCCACGAUGAGGCCGACUGCUGCAAGCGACCUGAGAGUUUCAGUGUCCCAUCAACCAGCUUUGCAUCGGCCGCCCUGCUCUGCGAUGGCCGUGCCUCGGAUAUUUUCGCGCACCGAACCAAAAAUCGAGCUUUAAUGGCUCCAUCGAAGAAAUUAAAGAACCUGCCGGCUAUGCCAUAUGAGGUGCAACGCGACCAAGCUGCGGAUGAAGAUGGAGCGAAAGACUAUGGAUGAGUAUGCCAGGCUACUACUACCACAAUGCCUUCUACAAGGACCCAAGGUCCGAAGGCGACACCAGUUUAAGGUACGCGCUUGUACCCAACGAACGAAGGACAAGUUGCUCAGUAUGCCAAAAGCGGAAGAGGAUGAUUCGCCCGAAGAGUUUCAGCAUGAAUA